CUCAAUAUAAAUGGGAAUAGUCGUAGUUUAAUAGCAUCUUCAUUGACUCCCGGAGCAUGAAAGUUCUGACAGUUUCUGAGAAAUCUAGAAAUAUGCGUGUUUGGAUUCUCUUGAGGUAGCCCGUAGAAUUGCAAGGUGUUGCUCAUCAAAUUAAUCCAAUCUGGCCUGAUCUGAAAGUUAUUCACCCCAAAAUCUGGAUACACGAUACUGGAGCGCAUGGGUGCUGCUAUAGGUGUCAGGAACAUUGAUACUGGCAAAUCCCCUUCAUUUAUUUCCCUUCGUUCAUGCUGUUGUUCCGGUGGUGCCACCACUCUUGCGGCCAUUUGCCCAAUCGGCUGAAUA
rnacentral:lncRNA from 1 species